GUCAAGAUGGUGGAGUGGUUAACACGUUCGCCGGCUAGACUCUUGAGGAGUUAGUCAGUGGAUGCUUUCGGGCGCGCAGGUUCGAAUCCUGUUCUUGACG